CUUCAGGCAAGCUUUAUUUGUUAGAGUAUAAACAAGAUAUCACUAAACUUGUACCAGAAAGAGCAUGUUCCAGACACUGGAACAUGAUCUGCUUCCCUCAUAGGUUCCAUGUUAGGAGAAGCAGAGAGCAAAGCCAGUGACUCUUUGGUCUGGGUGUUGAGUAGACAAUGAGGCCCAUGCUUCCAGCAGUUUAUACUGCAUUUGGUAGGCAACUGAGAGAAACUCCCAACUCUAGUUGGUGUGAUCCUUCCACAGAUGAUAGUCUGGUUUGGAGUUCAGUGUGUGAAAGGUAUUUGGGGGUGCAUCAAUGUACAGUGCACAGCCUUGUACACAAUUAAAAGCCUUGGGAUCUGGAAUGCUGCUGGACACGAGUGUAACAUUUGCAAAAGAAUGUUUACCUGUCCUACUAGACCUUCUCCCUGCAGCUUUUAAGCUUCAGGCCCCAGGACCCAUGGAUUCGCUGGUGCACAGGUGUCACGAUGUUCCCCACGUCGGCAGAAAGGGGUAAAGUUGAACGGCCAAAGUUUAUGCACUUAUUAAGGAGCACGCUAGGAUCUGCACCCAGCCUGACCCUUGAAGGUCCAAGCAAGUGUCCCCACGCCCUGAGAGCGGGAACUUAUGCAAGCAUGGGGAGCGAACACAGUUAUGGCGCGCGCUUAGCUGGCCGCAGGUGCCACGUGUGGUGCGCAGAGCCACCGCUGAUCGCGCGGGGGCUCCGCGGCCUUUGUGUACACCGCAUGAUUCCCA
rnacentral:lncRNA from 1 species